CAGUAGCCGCGGUAAUACGGAGGGUGCAAGCGUUACUCGGAAUCACUGGGCGUAAAGGACGCGUAGGCGGAUUAUCAAGUCUCUUGUGAAAUCUAACGGCUUAACCGUUAAACUGCUUGGGAAACUGAUAAUCUAGAGUAAGGGAGAGGCAGAUGGAAUUCUUGGUGUAGGGGUAAAAUCCGUAGAUAUCAAGAAGAAUACCUAUUGCGAAGGCGAUCUGCUGGAACUUAACUGACGCUAAUGCGUGAAAGCGUGGGGAGCAAACAGGAUUAGAUACCCGCGUAGUCCCUGUCUCUUAUAC
rnacentral:rRNA from 1 species